rnacentral:rRNA from 1 species
GAUGAACGCUGGCGGCGUGCUUAACUACAUGCAAGUCGAACGAAGCACUUAUUUACGAUUUCUUCGGAAUGACGAUUUAGUGACUGAGUGGCGGACGGGUGAGUAACGCGUGGGUAACCUGCCUUAUACAGGGGGAUAACAGUUAGAAAUGACUGCUAAUACCGCAUAAGCGCACAGGAUUGCAUGAUCUGGUGUGAAAAACUCCGGUGGUAUAAGAUGGACCCGCGUCUGAUUAGCUGGUUGGUGAGGUAACGGCCCACCAAGGCGACGAUCAGUAGCCGGACUGAGAGGUUGACCGGCCACAUUGGGACUGAGACACGGCCCAGACUCCUACGGGAGGCAGCAGUGGGGAAUAUUGGGCAAUGGGCGCAAGCCUGACCCAGCAACGCCGCGUGAAGGAAGAAGGCUUUCGGGUUGUAAACUUCUUUUAUUAAGGACGAAAGAAAUGACGGUACUUAAUGAAUAAGCUCCGGCUAACUACGUG